AGGAGGAGUAACAUUGAGGAAGAGAGAACAAGAGGAUCAUGGAGAAGAAGGAUCUUGGGAUGGAGAAUCUCUGCUGUGAGGUCAAUCUGGGUGUGCAGUCAGAGCCUGUUGUUGGAACCUGCAGUCACAGUCUAGCCAGGGUUGUCCAUGAACUUACUGAUUUCCAGAGCAGUGCUUUUCCAAGCAGCCACCAGAUCUGGAGUCAAGCUGUAGCCUUUGCAUGAUUCUUCCAUUCCUGCAACAGCCACUCCUGACGUUACUCUGAGAGGGGACAAAUAAAGAGAAUUAGAUGUGCUUCUUAAAAGGUGGUCCAGAAGGUUUUUUUUUCCUUCAUAAGUUUGUUGCCUCACUUUUCACGUGCUUGUUGCUGCAGCAGGGAAGAGAGCAGCGAGGCAGCUCUGGAGUUGUUUCACCAUCUGUUUCUCAGCUCUUUCUUCAAAAUCGCUGAUCAGAACCUCUGAACCCAUGUCUUCCUUCAGAGGUUCUUCUCCCCAAAAUUAGUGAUCUUUGAUGUGUGAUGGAACUACAGCUCAAAUGGAAGAGUGUGGCACUACUUGGAAUACACAAUUUGCUUAGAAAAACCCCAAAGAAAAGAAUUUGGUGCAAGAAGUUCGUUGUUCUGGGAAUGCAACCUUCCUGGUAUGGUAUUCUGCACAAGACACUUGAUCUCCGACGCUGCCAUUAGGACAGGACUACUCUGGAAUGUUGCCUACCCCCAGUGCCUGCUGAAGAGUGGGAAGGAGAUCUGGUGAUGGAUCCAUUGGCUUCUGCUUGUGCUGCCCAAGCCACUGGAGUGGACAUGGCCUGUGUUGAGGUCCCUCUUGGUUUCUGGGGAGCAGAACGUGGUUUCCUGGGACAGGCAAAGGGUCAGACAGAGUCACAGCGCCUUUUUCACAAGGACUUACGUGAGGAGCAUCAGAAGUAUGCAAAACAUUGCCUGUGAGACUUCUCUUCGAUGGCUUCAUAUUUUCUUGCUUGUAUUUGAGGUGUUAACUCAUUUAAUGCACUGGAAUAGAAUGAACUGUUAGAAGGCUGAUGAAGAUCACGGUCAGCUCGUGUUUCUGUCUCUUGGCACUGAACUGUCCCUACAAAUAUUGUAGGGGAAGAGAUGCCCCUAAUCUGAAGUGGGGCAUACAGAGGACUGCAGACUUUUCUUCCUUUUGUAAAUCUGCUGUAAUAAAAAAGAUUUGCUUCCAUGAUUUUCCAUAAGUAAUUGCUUAGUUAUAUAUUUCCUUUUUAUUGUAGAACCCAGAGACUUUCUCUGGAUCUUAGAUGCAAUUGUUGACUCCAUUUCUGUUUGGAAGACCUUCCAGUAUUUUACUCUCUGAUCGUAAUAAAGCAGGAUGUAUAAGUUCUUCUUAAUUAUGAAAUAAA